GAUUGCAAUACCCUCUCUGUAAUCGCGGCUG
rnacentral:ncRNA from 1 species